rnacentral:rRNA from 1 species
CCUACGGGUGGCAGCAGUGGGGAAUAUUGGACAAUGGGGGGAACCCUGAUCCAGCCAUGCCGCGUGUGUGAAGAAGGCCCUCGGGUUGUAAAGCACUUUCAGUGAGGAAGAACGCCUGGUGGUUAAUACCCAUCAGGAAAGACAUCACUCACAGAAGAAGCACCGGCUAACUCCGUGCCAGCAGCCGCGGUAAUACGGAGGGUGCGAGCGUUAAUCGGAAUUACUGGGCGUAGAGCGCGCGUAGGUGGCUUGAUAAGCCGGUUGUGAAAGCCCCGGGCUCAACCUGGGAACGGCAUCCGGAACUGUCAAGCUAGAGUGCAGGAGAGGAAGGUAGAAUUCCCGGUGUAGCGGUGAAAUGCGUAGAGAUCGGGAGGAAUACCAGUGGCGAAGGCGGCCUUCUGGACUGACACUGACACUGAGGUGCGAAAGCGUGGGUAGCAAACAGGAUUAGAUACCCGAGUAGUC